AGCAGCCGCGGUAAUUCCAGCUCCAAUAGCGUAUAUUAAAGUUGUUGCAGUUAAAAAGCUCGUAGUUGAAUUUCGGGAUUGACGUGACGGUCAUGCCUUAAGGGGUAUGAACUGUUACAGUUGAUUUCUCACCUUCUGGAGAAACUUGAUGUCCUUUAUUGGGUGUCUUGCGGAUCCAGGACCUUUACCUUGAAAAAAUUAGAGUGUUUAAAGCAGGCAUUUUUGCUCGAAUACAUUAGCAUGGAAUAAUAGAAUAGGACGGCAUGGUUCUAUUUUGUUGGUUUCUAGGAUCACCGUAAUGAUUAAUAGGGAUAGUUGGGGGCAUUAGUAUUCAAUUGUCAGAGGUGAAAUUCUUGGAUUUAUUGAAGACUAACUACUGCGAAAGCAUUUGCCAAGGAUGUUUUCAUUAAUCAAGAACGAAAGUUAGGGGAUCGAAGACGAUCAGAUACCGUCGUAGUCUUAACCAUAAACUAAUGCCGACUAGGGAUCGGGUGAUGUAAUUUUUAAUGAUCAUUCGCGU
rnacentral:rRNA from 1 species